rnacentral:rRNA from 1 species
AAUCAACGCUGGCGGCGUGCCUCAGACAUGCAAGUCGAACGAUUAAAGCUCUCUUCGGAGAGUGUAUAGAGUGGCGCACGGGUGAGUAACACGUAAGUAAUCUACCUUUGAGUGGGGAAUAACCCGGGAAACCCGAGCUAAUACCGCAUAAUGCAGCGGCAUCGCAAGAUGACAGUUGUUAAAGGAGCAAUCCGCUUAAAGAGGAGCUUGCGGCAGAUUAGCUAGUUGGUAAGGUAAUGGCUUACCAAGGCUACGAUCUGUAUCCGGUCUAAGAGGACGGUCGGACACACUGACACUGAAUAACGGGUCAGACUCCUACGGGAGGCAGCAGUCGGGAAUUUUGGGCAAUGGGCGAAAGCCUGACCCAGCAACGCCGCGUGAAGGAUGAAGUAUUUCGGUAUGUAAACUUCGAAAGAAUAGGAAGAAUAAAUGACGGUACUAUUUAUAA